rnacentral:rRNA from 1 species
UACGGAGGGUGCAAGCGUUAAUCGGAAUAACUGGGCGUAAAGGGCAUGCAGGCGGUCUGACAAGUAAGAUGUGAAAUACCAGGGCUUAACCUUGGGGCUGCAUUUUAAACUAUCAGACUAGAGUAUUGGAGGGGGAGAUGGAAUUCCAGGUGUAGCGGUGGAAUGCGUAGAUAUCUGGAAGAACACCAAAGGCGAAGGCAAUCUUCUGGCCAAAUACUGACGCUCAGAUGCGAAAGCGUGGGAAG